GGAUUGUAGGCUUUUGCCACCUGUGCC
rnacentral:piRNA from 1 species